rnacentral:rRNA from 1 species
CCUACGGGUGGCAGCAGUGGGGAAUAUUGCACAAUGGGCGAAACCCUGAUGCAGCGACGCCGCGUGAGCGAUGAAGUAUUUCGGUAUGUAAAGCUCUAUUAGUAGGGAAGAAAAUGACGGUACGUGACUCAUAAGCCCCGGCUAACUACGUGCCAGCAGCCCCGGUAAUACGUAGGGGGCAAGCGUUAUCCGGAUUUACUGGGUGUAAAGGGAGCGUAGACGGUUCGGCAAGUCAGAUGUGAAAGCCCGGGGCUCAACCCCGGGACUGCAUUUGAAACUGGAAGGCUAGAGUGUCGGAGAGGUAGGCGGAAUUCCUAGUGUAGCGGUGAAAUGCGUAGAUAUUAGGAGGAACACCAGUGGCGAAGGCGGCCUACUGGACUGUGACUGACGGUGAGGCUCGAAAGCGUGGGUAGCAAACAGGAUUAGAUACCCGAGUAGUC